GGAUUUUGAGCCAAUUAUCAGUAUCAACACAACUCAAAGCACAAUUCUCCCAUUAAAUUUUGACCCGCAACUGAACCGGGGUGACGGUCGGUCCGAGUCGGAUAACUAUUCUGUCCACACACGUGCUCUAUCAUACUUAAGAACGUCAGAUCCAAAACUCCAUAAUCAGAAGGAAGUUGAUUUUGUUAAGCACCUUAAACGCAGCGUUUUGAUGAUCAUUCGUGUAGAUCUGGUGUGUCCCUUGCAUACCAACUUAUUCUCUCUCAGAUCACAUUGCGAUCCAAAUUGAGCUUGAGUGAUUCUAGGGUUUUACAGAGCUGAGAUUGAUGCUGUAUAGAUCGUGAAAAUGGAUUCGCAGCCUUCCCAAUCGGGAAGGUUCAUGGCUGAAGCUGCAACCACCCUUGGCAAUAGUGAAACCCGCUUUGGAAGAACCACUUCGUCGUCCACCAAAUCUGUCCCGGACGGGAGUAGCCAGAGCUUGGCUUCCAUUCUCAACAAUCCUCUCGUCGGAAAAUCCGGCGUUUACAGCUCCGAUUCGUGGGUCGGGUGGUGGUCCUCGUCGACGGCGGUCAGUCCGCCGGAGUUCUCGCCGUUGGUGUCCGGCAAGGCCUCUUCGGAAGUUGCUCGAUCCGAUUUUCAGCCAUACUUAGCCUCGAUCUCGGAGCCGUAUGGUCGUUUCGAGGACAUUCGGAAUCAUAAGAGCAAAGAAAAUGGAGAAUUGGAAGGUUUUGGCAUGUCGAAAAACGGGGAAAUUCAAGGUCAGGGUGAGGCUCUCAUGGCGUGUUUGAGAGAGGUACCGUCGCUGUAUUUCAAAGAGGAUUUUGCGCUGGAAGAGGGCGCGACGUUCCGGGCGGCUUGCCCGUUCACGACGGCGUCGGAGAAUCUUGUUCUGCAGGAGAAGCUGUCGCAGUAUUUGGAUGUGGUUGAAUUGCAUUUGGUGAAGGAGAUUUCUCUGCGGUCCAAUUCGUUUUUUGAGGCGCAAGGGCAAUUGCAAGACUUGAAUGUGAAGAUUGUGGAGGGGUGUAGUCGGAUCCGAGAGCUAAAGGAGACUAUAAGGCUCUUGGAUUCGGAUUUAGUAGAUUCUGCAAAGCAAAUUCAGGAGUUGAAUGCGACUAGAAGCAAUUUGCUGGCACUUCAACAGAAAUUGAAGCUUAUACUAUAUGUCAACCAAGCUCUCUCGGCUCUCAAACUGCUUAUUGCAUCUGCAGAUUGUGCUGGUGCUCUGGAUGUCACUGAUGAUCUGCAACAUUUGUUGGAUGGUGAUGAGCUUACUGGUUUGCAUUGUUUUCGUCACCUUCGGGAUCGUGUAGCAACUUCAAUAGAUUCUAUAAACAGCAUUCUUUCAGCAGAAUUCAUGCGUGCAUCUAUACAUGAUGCUGGAAAUAUGGAUGCUGUAAUUCUGUCAAAUGCAAAAGCAGGGGCUUCUAUUAUGACAAAUGGAAAGGAUGAAGACGUUAAGUUGGAUGAGGAAGAAACUUCUAAUUUCCGAGAUCGUCUUCUCCCUUUCAUUAUUGGAUUGCUGAGAACUGCAAAACUCCCAUCUGUGUUGAGGAUAUAUCGUGAUACACUUACAGCUGAUAUGAAAACUGCUAUCAAGACUGCAGUUGCAGAGCUGCUUCCAGUUCUUGUUGCCCGACCAUUGGAUUCGGAUUUUGCACCAGGAGAGCGAAUGGUUGAUGCUGAUGGUGGAGGUUCAUCACUUGCAAGCAAGUUGAGAAGCCUAUCAUCAGAAAGCUUUGUUCAACUUUUAGGUGCUAUUUUCAAGAUUGUCGAGGCACAUUUACUGCGAGCUGCUGAAGUGAAAAGGGCCAUUGAGUGGAUUAUGUGCAACCUUGAUGAUCACUAUGCUGCUGAUUCAGUUGCUGCUGCAAUUGCACUUGGUGCAGCAGUUGCAGAAGCAGCUCAAGAAAGUGAUACUCAAAUUAGUUCUUUUCUGUCAUAUUCUCCUCAAAGGAAUGCUGGGAAGAUUAAUAUUCAGGGAAAGACAAAUGAUGCAGCAAGUCCAUCAAAUAUGUCAAAAAAUUUCCGAGCUGAUGUAUUGCGAGAGAACACAGAAGCUGUUUUUGCGGCUUGUGAUGCUGCUCAUGGAAGAUGGGCAAAACUCCUUGGUGUUCGUGCUCUUCUUCAUCCUAGGUUGAGAUUGCAGGAGUUCUUAAGCAUUUACAACAUCACCCAGGAAUUUAUUAGUGCUACGGAGAAGAUUGGUGGAAGGUUGGGUUAUAGCAUUCGGGGAACACUACAGUCACAGGCUAAAGCCUUUGUUGAGUUUCAGCAUGAAUCUCGAAUGGCAAAAAUAAAGGCAGUGCUUGACCAAGAAACAUGGGUUGAAGUAGAUGUUCCUGAUGAAUUUCAGGCUAUAGUCACUUCUCUAUUUUCUUUGGAACCUUUGAUCACUGGAAACCUAGUUGAUGCUCAAGGUAAUACGGCAACAAACUAUGGUGAAGUGGUCUCAAGCAAUGAUGCAUCAAGCAUGGUGGACAGUGGACUGUCAAAUAAUCAGCCGCAUAUUGAGCAGAAUGAUUCUAUUGAAACAUCUGCUGAUGUUAAUGCGCAAGUGAAAUCUUCAUCAUUGGAUAGUGCAACUGAAAGAAGUAAAGCUGAUGUUAUAACUGCUUCGGCACAAUAUAAUAGUAGUAACAUGAAGGAGCGUGGAAAAUCUACCUCUCAUACCCUUAUUUAUGGAGGUGUUGGUUAUCACAUGGUAAACUGUGGCUUAAUCUUGCUGAAGAUGUUGUCAGAGUACAUUGAUAUGAAUAACUUCUUUCCUGCACUGUCUUCAGAAGUUGUUCAUCGUGUUGUUGAAAUUUUAAAAUUUUUCAAUACACGAACUUGUCAACUUGUUCUCGGUGCUGGUGCCAUGCAGGUGUCUGGUUUGAAGUCCAUCACUUCUAAACACUUGGCACUGGCAAGUCAGGUCAUCAGUUUUACAUUUGCUAUUAUUCCAGAAAUCAGGAGGAUUCUUUUUCUCAAAGUACCUGAAACACGAAGACCAUUAUUGCUCUCUGAGAUUGAUCGAGUAGCUCAGGAUUAUAAGGUUCACAGGGAAGAGAUACAUACAAAGCUAGUUCAGAUAAUGAGAGAAAGGUUAUUGGUCCAUCUGCGUGGGUUGCCUCAAAUUGUUGAGAGUUGGAACAGACCUGAAGAUAAUGAUCCACAGCCUAGUCAGUUUGCUCGAUCCCUAACGAAGGAAGUUGGGUAUCUUCAGCGUGUCUUAUCUCGAACUCUGCAUGAGGUAGAUGUUCAAGCAAUUUUCAGGCAAGUGGUUAUAAUUUUCCAUUCUCAAAUUUCAGAAGCAUUUUCACACUUAGAGAUCAAUACCCCACAAGCAAGGAACAGGCUGUAUCGGGAUGUUCAACACAUUCUUGGCUGCAUCCGAUCAUUACCUUCUGAUAGUUUGGGUAAAUCUGGUACCCCAAACUCAGGGCAGCUUGAUGAAUUCUUGGUGAAGAGAUUUGGUACUGAAGCUGGUUGAUGGAUGUUAGUUUAGAGGAGCAAUUUAGAUAUUCCUCUGAUGAAGACUAACCUGAUUUAAAGAGACCAUUUGAGGAUCGAGAACCAAUAUUCACCAUAUUCAUUGGAGUGAUUGCUUUGGGUUAACAAGGUGUUUGAUAUGCGGCAGAGGGAGGGUCUUCAACCAGAGUUUUUGUAGCAGUCCAUAAUCAAUAUACAAUUUGUAAUGAUAGGACCCUUGACAUUUUGUUCCCUUUGAUUGUAUCUUUGGGUUUAGAUAUAAAGGGAACAAGAAAAUAGCUUUGGUUUUCAAGUUUUUUUUUUUUUUUUUUUUUCUUCGUUUUCAUGGGGCUUAAUUUAUUUGCAAAUUCAGAGCAAUUGUAUCAGUAUUGGAUUUCUACAAAAUAUGCUUUCCGAAAUCAUAAAUAAGAGGUGUCUUUCUUUUGGUUC